rnacentral:rRNA from 1 species
AUGUGCAGCUCCGAUCAUUUCGCCAGUAAUAAUGACUUGUACCUUCAGCCCAAUCAUCAGAGGGGGGCUGGGAUCAUGGAGGCCUGCGAUCUUGACAGAAGUGGGCACGGGCAGAGCCGGCAUGGCCAGGAGGCGGAGGAGCACCGGUCGGACCCGAGCGCGGCGCUCACCACGUACCUGACCUUCCUGGAGCACAAGAUCGGGCACCUCCGCGGGAUCCUCUGCUCCACGCCGCGCCACCCGCAGCAGCAGCGUGCCAUCGUCUCCGCCGAGCUCCGCUGCAUAAUCGUGCAGCUCGUCUCCAUCGCCAACUACCUCGACUCCGACUCCGGCGCCGGCGCGGCGGACGCGUCCCCGUUCGAGCCCAGCGAGGAGAGGUCGCCGUCGCUGUCGAACGGCACCCACGACGACUCCGGCGACGGCCACGCCGAGGCCGCCGGCGAGGAGGAGAUUGAAGGGGAGGGGCCGUACGAGGUGGUGCAGAUCGAGAAGGAGGAGAUCCUGGCGCCGCACGCGCACUGCUGCAAGGUGUGCGGCAAGGGGUUCAAGCGCGACGCCAACCUGCGCAUGCACAUGCGCGGCCACGGCGACCAGUACAAGGCGCCUGGCGCGCUCGCCAGGCCCGGCUCGCCGGCGCCGGGGGCGGGGACGGGGAGGCGCUUCUUCUACUCGUGCCCCUACGCCGGGUGCAAGCGCAACAGGGAGCACAGGGACUUCCAGCCGCUCAAGACGCCCGUCUGUGUCAAGAACCACUACCGCCGGAGCCACUGCGACAAGAGCCACGUCUGCCGCCGCUGCGGCGUCAAGCGCUUCUCGGUCCUCGCCGACCUCCGCACCCACGAGAAGCACUGCGGCCGCGACCGCUGGGUCUGCUCCUGCGGCGUCUCCUUCUCCAGGAAAGACAAGCUCUUCGCCCACGUCGCCAUCUUCGACGGCGGCCACACGCCCGCUCUGCCGCCCAGCGACGACGAAGCCAUCGGCCAUUGCACUGCCGCCACUGCCAUUGACAGCAUCCUCGUGCCCAGCUCCGGUCAGCCGCUGCCGGUCAGCGGUGGCGAAGCGGUGAACGUGGUGGACCAGAGCUUCUCCGGUCAAAUGCUCGAUGGUCUCAGCUUCUCCGGCGCCAAAGGGGGCAUGGAUGACGGCCGAGCAAAGCUCUCCUCCCCGAUCGGCAUUGACUUCUGUGACUUCGAUGGAUUCGACCUGUUGGGAGCAGUUGCAAUGGACUUCAAUUUCUGA